CAGCCGCCGCGGGAAUACGUAGGGCGCAAGCGUUAUCCGGAAUUAUUGGGCGUAAAGAGCUCGUAGGCGGUUUGUCGCGUCUGCCGUGAAAGUCCGGGGCUCAACCCCGGAUCUGCGGUGGGUACGGGCAGACUAGAGUGAUGUAGGGGAGACUGGAAUUCCUGGUGUAGCGGUGAAAUGCGCAGAUAUCAGGAGGAACACCGAUGGCGAAGGCAGGUCUCUGGGCAUUAACUGACGCUGAGGAGCGAAAGCAUGGGGAGCGGACAGGAUUAGAGACCCCCGUAGUCCCUGUCUCUUAUAC
rnacentral:rRNA from 1 species